GACGAACGCUGGCGGCGUGCUUAACACAUGCCAGUCGAACGGUGAAGCUCCAGCUUGCUGGAGUGGAUCAGUGGCGAACGGGUGAGUAACACGUGAGCAACCUGCCCCUGACUCUGGAAUAAGCGCUGGAAACGGCGUCUAAUACUGGAUACGAGAAGGGUCCGCAUGGGCACUUUCUGGAAAGUUUUUCGGUUGGGGAUGGGCUCGCGGCCUAUCAGCUUGUUGGUGAGGUAAUGGCUCACCAAGGCGACGACGGGUAGCCGGCCGGAGAGGGCGACCGGCCACACUGGGACUGAGACACGGCCCAGACUCCUACGGGAGGCAGCAGUGGGGAAUAUUGCACAAUGGGCGAAAGCCUGAUGCAGCGACGCCGCGUGAGGGAUGACGGCCUUCGGGUUGUAAACCUCUUUCAGCAGGGAAGAAGCGAAAGUGACGGUACCUGCAGAAGAAGCACCGGCUAACUACGUG
rnacentral:rRNA from 1 species